rnacentral:ncRNA from 2 species
AUGAUAAGUGCGGGAGAGACCAAAUAUAAUUUAUGUAAUUUGGCGCCGAAGGAAUAAGUCAUAAAGUUUGCCAUUUUAUGAUGAUGAUCUCAGGCAAAAGAACCGUACUUUGACG